rnacentral:lncRNA from 1 species
GGAACAGACACCAAGUGAAUUAGUUUUGUAUGACAGAUUAGCAGGUGUGAUUUAUAGAAUAGUAGGACUAGUCUUACCUUUAUUUCUAACUUCUCUCAGUUCACUUCCAGUCUGAGUGAAAGUAACAUUCAACAACUUUGAUAAGUUUAGGCUGGCAUCUAUAUUGCAUGAUAUUGAUAUGUCAUCCAUAUCACAAUAGUGACAAUACGCAACAGCCUGAACAAGGAGAGCCUGCAUAAGAUCUAUGAGAUCAGGAAAAAAUUAGGAUUAUCUCAAAUGAGCAUAACAACAACAGUACUCCGGAACAACCAUAAACCAAGUCCAUGCACAAUGGAAGACAAAUAUUGGAGCUGAUAUCACCAUCUUGUAUAAUAUCAAUGAAUAUUGGAGCUGAUAUCACUAUCUUGUAUAAUAUCACGCACGAUCUAGUCACAUGAGAAUUCUACCAGAGUCAUGGAAGUCAGAAAAAUCCAACAAUCAUCAUCCAUUCAUUAUCCAGUCAAUCGAGAAGUAUCACUCCAGUCUAUGACAAUAAUUUUUAUAGACAUGUAUUUACACAUGCUGCAGGUCACUAUUCAGUAAUUCCAAAAUAUCUGGUCCCUUCGAUAUUGCUUUUUCAAAUAUACUGAAAUUAACUUCUGAUAAGUCCAUUCCUUCUGCUUCCGAAACUCCAAAAAUGCCUCUGAGCUUGCAUGGAAAUCGCCUUUUCCCAGAACUUCAAAUACAAAUGGAUCUGUUAAGACUACCGGAGAAUCAUCCAAGUUCAUUUUGUUUAAAGCAAAAUACAAGUUUCUUCCCAGUCUUCUAUCCAAGUAUGCGUCAACAAUACAACCACAAGUGACCAGAUCAGGAACAACUUUCACAUGUUUCAUGUGUUCAAGAGUAAGAUGGAGAUCCCAGAGUAGAGACAUUCUCGAAAAAGCCAGGGCACGAAUAUUAAAUGUAGUGAGAUCAGGGUGGAAUCCUGCUUCCACCAUUCUCAGAAAUUCUCUUUGUAAGGUUUUCAUCUUAAAAUUGGCAGCAUAGGAUAGCAACAGCAGGUUCCAUAGAAGAUUUCCCAAGUUUCUUCUACCUAGACCAACACUCUUAAGGAACUCAGCUAAACUAUAGAACUUCCUUUUCUUUAGAUACGCCAACGACAUUGCCCUGAUUCCCUCUUCCUCUAUCAAAAACCUGGACCUCUUAAGGCGAUCAUAGGCGGUUUCCAUCUCAGUCAGAGAACCAAAAAUGCUAUAGUACCUAAUGAAGACAUUCCCAGUGGCCGAGUCUACAGGGAAUCCCCUUGAUACCAUUUCCUUCAAUGUAUCUUCCAUCAAUUCAAGCUGCCCUCCCUUCCCAAAGCAAGAGAUAGCUAGGGAGUAAACCUGCGGUAACAAACUUAAAUUCCUUGAUCUUAUCUGACCGACAAUCUCAUUCACCUUUCCAAACGAUCCCACAUUACCAUAAACAUCAAACAGCUCCGACACAACCUGAAUACCAGGCACAAAAGAGCUGUUUAACAUUUCGUCCCAAAUUGCCUCAGCUUGAGGUAAAAGGCCAUUCUUCGCAUGACAUAGCAUUACAGCAGAUAGAGUGGAGUUGCUCGGAAUAAGACCCUCCGAUUUCAUCACAAGUAAAACCUCCUGAGCUACAUGAGGCAUCUUUUGUCUACUUAAACUCUGUAUCAGCGGUACACAGUCUACAUAACAGUCUUUCCCCCUAGAACACUCUUCCUGCUUCCAUGUCCGUACUAUCUGUUCUAAACACAAACACACACACACACACACACACACACACACACCCAGAAACAAGAAUUCAAACACAGAUCAUGUGAAUCAAGAACAUUCAAACCAACUACAAUCACAUGUAUUUAGAACACGAACUAAUUUCAUCUAUCUUUACAUAUAAGCUUUCAGGGCACUGAAAAGAAAAUUUUGUAGACAACCAUGAUAGUCUUUCCUUGAUAUGAAAAGAAACAUAAUUUCUUUUUAUCUCUAUACUCAAUCACACAGUUUAAUCUACAUCACAAAUGUUCAUCAAGACUCGAUUGGUUCAAGUAAAAAGACCCAGUUUUCGCAAAGGUAGUGCCUUUACUGCUUUCUAAAGUGAACUGCAACUAGUUUUGAUCAAAUUAAAUAAAACUGAAAGUAACAGAAAAAGGGAAUGCUCGCAAUAGACUGACCUUGCGUGCCAGAGCCCGAUUUUGAGAACGUUGUGAUUGAUGGGAAAGAACAGAAAGACGGUUCGGAUUGAGAGACCCAGAAACAGAGGCUGUGCUCAGAACAAGAAUGGCCUCCAUUUUGGAACACAGCAAGCCAAAGCAGUGAGUUCAAUCUGUGGUGGGUUACAUUAGUUUGUCCUGCGUUUCAGACAGUUGAUAAUUUACUCCAUCCUUUUUAGAUGAUAAGUGCAACCAUUGACCCAAAAGAAUGGUCAACUAUUAGCCUAGGGGCUAGAGAAAUUUUAUUGUCAUACGUUUACACGGAAUAAAAUUUAGAGUGCGGCUAUUAGGACCUUCAAAUUUGCUCAGUAUAUCUCUAUUCUCUCUACACCUCCAUUUUAUUUUUAAAUACAAGCAUUUUCUCAUUACACCUCUUUUCAAAUUCCUAAAAUAGCCUUGUUUAUGUAAUUCACAUAUAUAUUAAUAUAUUAUUCAUUACACCUCUUAUUCACUCACUAUAUCUCNNN